UCUCCCCAUCUCCAGAGAACAGAUCCCAGGAGAGAUGGUCACCCCAAAGCCAUCUCUGCAGGAUGGAGAUACUCAAUGGCAAUUCUCCCAGGGCUGCCCCAGGGGUGACGGUUUCAGGGAGGCCCAGUGACAUGGCAUCUGAAGGCACCCAGAGAAGUCAGGUGGGAGGGCUCCAAACCUGGCAGAGUCUGGAGGUAGGGCUUCAGGUGUGAGUCUGAUGACUUCUUGACCACUUGGCAGAUCUGUCGGAAGUGGGUGAGAAAGUGGGGUGAGUCCUUCCUCCGCCUUUCCCUGGCCAUGCCCUUGGCUUCCCCACUCCUCUCUAGGAACCCUGGUGGCAUUCCUGUCUCAUGGGCACCUCUGUGUGUGCGCAGGGCAGGGAAAUGAUGGAAAGGAAGGAGAGACCACUCCCUGUGCAUACAGCACUUGGCCGCUGUUCCAGUUGGACUGGCCUUUCACGCAGGGGGGCCCAGUUUACGUUCCUGGACUUUCCUGGAAUCUACAUUAAAAGUGGCUGGUGGUCAGGCUGGCCUUGCUCUGGGGUGUGCUAUUGAUACUGUCCUCCGGUCAAUGUGGUGCUGGCGGCUAAGGCACCAAGAAGUACAGUACUUACACAGAGUUAUUAGAACCAGGGGACAAAGCAGUGGAGCUCCUUGGUACAUGGCGCAACUCUGGACUCAGAGACUCCACACCCCAUUCUCUGGCCCCUUUGACUCCUCUUCCUACUUGCUUCCUGGAACCUCACCAUUAAUGCCCCUCUGGAAUAAGGGGGAGCCAUGUCCCAGCACCAAGGAGGCUCCUCAGGCAGUACUGACUGCAGUCACUAGAUGGCGCCAAAGCAAAGCAGAGGCGGGUUCCAAUGGAUUCCAGGGUCUGCAUUGGCUGCCAGCUUCCUGCUGGGUCCGUCAGCCAUGGAGUCCCAGGCUGGGGCGGUCCCAGAAGCUCCCAGUCUCCUAAUUUCCCAAUUUCAGCGAUUCCUACACCAUCUUCAUGAUUUUUGCCUUUCUCAUUUUUGAACUGUUAUUUCUACCAAGUGGUCAUAUUAAAAUCACAUACAUUAAAUAAAAAUAUAGAAACUAUCUCUUGUCAGUAGAAAACUGGUCUCCUUUGGCAUAAAGAGGGAAUAACUGGGAAAAUGAACAUGAAGGAUUUAGAAAAAUAUGCUCUGGAAGUCUGGCCAGAUGCUGCUGCCUAAUUAGAUAAUGCUCUCUUUGUAUUUAGGGAUGCAUUAAACCCCACUGAAAUGUCCUGUCUUUGACAUAAGAAGAAAUAGAAAGAAUACUGCAGCUGGGGUUACUUAUUCUGUCAUUCUGCAUAAUUUAAUACCGAGGCUUCAUAAUUCAUAAAAUCAACUCUGGAGAUUUCUGCAUUUUGAGAAGCAUUGUUUUAGUGCAAAAUUCUAAUCUAAGCCAGCCAGAGGUUUCCAGGUAGACCCAACCAGCCUCUCCUGGACCUUUGAGCCAGGCAGUGUUACUCAGGAACCAGCCCUCCCAUGGCUUGGAGUGUGACCUCCUUAGAUCUUCUCCAUUGUCCCCUAGGUCCCCUGGCCAGAGAUCCUCUUUCUGCAGAGCCUGCUGGAACUUGGAACUCACAGCUCUGUGGGAACUUAAGUCAGGGAUGACAUCUGAACCUGUCCAUUCCCUGGGCUCAGCCUCCCUAGCACUAGCCUCAUUCCCUCUGGACAAGUGACAUCCAGAUUUUUCAAUUGUUAGGUCAGUGACUGCAACCCACACAGGACUGGUGGGGAGCUCAACUGUCUGUAAAAAUAGCCUUACCCCCAUUCACUCAGCUCUUACUCAGUCCCUGGGUGCUCACUAGUUAAGUAUAUCACAUUGCCUGGUCCUCAGAACAGCCCAGCAGGGUACAUGUUGUAUCUUGUGAUUAUUCCUAUUUUACAGAUAAGAAUCCUAAGACUCAAAGAGGUUAAGUCACUUAUUCAAGACCUCACAGCCUGACGAUGACUGAGCUGGGAUUUAAACUCUGAGCAUCUGACAACAGAGCUCAAGUACGAUUCCAGCUGAAGCCUCCAAGCAUUUGUGCAGAAAACAUUAAUCAUUCCCACCCAUAGACAGAUCGUUGUUGGACAGGGAAGCUCUGAUUCCCAGCCCUGGAAGUAGACUCAGAUCUGAGUUUCGGACCUCGAAGCGAUGGAUCUUCAGGCUGGGGAGGAAAGCAGAUGUCAAACCCAUUAAAAC